UACGUAGGGUGCGAGCGUUAAUCGGAAUUACUGGGCGUAAAGCGUGCGCAGGCGGUUUUUUAAGCCAGACGUGAAAUCCCCGGGCUUAACCUGGGAACUGCGUUUGGGACUGGAAGACUAGAGUACGGCAGAGGGGGGUAGAAUUCCACGUGUAGCAGUGAAAUGCGUAGAUAUGUGGAGGAAUACCGAUGGCGAAGGCAGCCCCCUGGGUCGAUACUGACGCUCAUGCCCGAAAGCGUGGGGAGCAAACAGG
rnacentral:rRNA from 1 species